rnacentral:rRNA from 1 species
AUUGAACGCUGGCGGCAGGCCUAACACAUGCAAGUCGAACGAGUGGCGGACGGGUGAGUAAUGUCUGGGAAACUGCCUGAUGGAGGGGGAUAACUACUGGAAACGGUAGAUAAUACCGCAUACCAUCGGAUGUGCCCAGAUGGGAUGAGCUAGUAGGUGGGGUAACGGCUCACCUAGGCGACGAUCCCUAGCUGGUCUGAAAGGGUGACGAGCCACACUGGAACUGAGACGCGGUCCAGACUCCUACGCGAGACAGGAGUGGGGAAUAUUGCACAAUGGGCGCAAGCGUGAUGCAGCCAUGCCGUGUGUAAGAAGAGGGCCGUCGGUUUGUAAAGUACUUUCAGCGGAGAAGGGUUACCCGCAGAAGAAGCACCGGCUAACUCCGUGCCAGCAGCCGCGGUAAUA